rnacentral:rRNA from 1 species
UGGCUCAGAACGAACGCGGGCGGCGUGCUUAACACAUGCAAGUCGAGUGCGCGGUUGUAGCAAUACAACUGGCGCACGGCGCACGGGUGCGUAACACGUGGGUAACCUGCCCUUUGGUGGGGAAUAACUCCGCGAAAGCGGAGCUAAUUCCGCAUAAGAUCCGCAAGGAUGAAAGCCGCAAGGCGCCGAUGGAGGGGCCCGCGCCCGAUUAGCUUGUUGGUAGGGUAACGGCCUACCAAGGCUUUGAUCGGUAGCUGGUCUGAGAGGAUGGCCAGCCACACUGGAACUGAGACACGGUCCAGACUCCUACGGGAGGCAGCAGUGGGGAAUCUUGCACAAUGGGCGAAAGCCUGAUGCAGCGACGCCGCGUGGGGGAUGAAGCUUCUCGGAGUGUAAACCCCUUUCGAUCCGGACGAAUGCCCGCAAGGGAUUGACGGUACGGAUAUAAGAAGCCCCGGCUAACUACGUGCCAGCAGCCGCGGUAAGACGUAGGGGGCCAGCGUUGUUCGGAAUUACUGGGUGUAAAGGGUUCGUAGGCGGUGUGGCAAGUUGGGAGUGAAAUCUCUGGGCUUAACCCAGAGGCUGCUUCCAAAACUGCUGUGCUUGAGUGUGAGAGAGGCUCGUGGAAUUGCAGGUGUAGCGGUGAAAUGCGUAGAUAUCUGCAGGAACACCCGUGGCGAAAGCGGCGAGCUGGAUCACUACUGACGCUGAGGAACGAAAGCUAGGGGAGCAAACAGGAUUAGAUACCCUGGUAGUCCUAGCCCUAAACGAUCAGGACUUGGGGUGCCACCCGUUCGGGUGUCGUCCCGGAGCUAACGCGUUAAGUCCUGCACCUGGGGAGUACGGUCGCAGGGCUGAAACUCAAAG